CAACAGGCUAAUGGUAACUUUCUUUCUGCCCAAAAGAGCUAUUGACUUCUGUCUUUUUCUUCAGGAAAUUCUGUAACAGCAAUCUCAGUUUUGGGAAAGAUAGAUCGAAGGAAAAGGGGAUCUACUAAUUUUAAAGACGAAAGUUAUUUGGUGCACAAUGCAUUGUGGGUAUGCAAAUAAAGUCUCAGCAAUCAAGCUCCAGUUUUGACAAACUGGUGAAGCCUUAGGGACUCCUCAAAAAAAGGUUUUCUGUUGGUUUUGUUUUGUCUUAAAUUUUUUAUUUUUUAUUUUAUUUUUUUUUUUUUUUUUUGAGACGGAGUCUUGCUCUGUCGCCCAGGCUGGAGUGCAGUGGCGCGAUCACGGCUCACUGCAAGCUCCACCUCCCAGGUUCACACCAUUCUCCUGCCUCAGCCUCUCCGAGUAGCUGGGACUACAGGCGCCCGCCACCACGCCCGGCUAAUUUUUUGUAUUUUUAGUAGAGACGGGGUUUCACAGUGGUCUCGAUCUCCUGACCUCGUGAUCCGCCCGCCUCGGCCUCCCAAAGUGCUGGGAUUACAAGCGUGAGCCACCGCGCCCAGCCUAUUUUUUAUUUUUAAUGUUUGUGUGUACAUAGUAUGUGUAUGUAUGGGUUACAUGACAAGAGAAAGGUUUUGUUUGUUUGUUUGAGAUAGAGUCUUGCUCUUGUCACCCAGGCUGGAGUGCUGUGGUGCGAUCUCGGCUCACUGCAACCUCCGCCUGCCGGGUUCAAGCAAUUCUCCUGCCUCAGCCUCCCGAGUAGCUGGGAUUACAGGUAUGGGCCACCAUGCCCGGCUAAUUUUUGUAUUUUUAGUAGAGACGGGGUUUCACCAUGUUGGCCAGGCUGGUCUCGAACUCCUGACUUCAGGUGAUCUGCCCGCCUCGGCCUCCCAAAGUGCUGGAAUUACAGGCGUGAGCCACCGCGCCCAGCCCCUGCGAAUGCUGUGUAGUUGUCUCUUCCUAAGGUUUUAUUUUGAGAGGAGCCCCAGCCUUUCUCACGAGCUCACUUGCCCAGUGUUGCCAUCUCCCGGGACAGCCACAGAGCAGUCACCCUGGUCCCUGGCCCGGGUUUUCAGAGCUCUCCUCCACGUGUGUGUUAGUCAGGGUUCUCUAGAGGGACAGGAAUAAUAGGAUCUAUGUAUAUAUGAGAGGGACUUUAUUAAGGAGAAUUUGACUCACACGAUCACAAGGUCAAGUCCCAUGUUAGGCUGCCUGCAAGUUGAGGAGCAAGGAAGCCAGCAGUGGCUCAGUCCAGGUCCCAAAACCUCAAAAGUAGGGAAGCUGACAGUGCAGCCUUCAAUCUGUGGCCGAAGGCCUGAGAGCCCCCAACAAACCACUGGUGUAAGUCCAGGAGUCCAAAAGCCGAAGAACUUGGAGUCUGAUGUUCAAGGGCAGGAAGCCUCCAGCACGGGAGAAAGAUGAAGCCCGGAGGACCCAGCAAGUCGGCUUUUUCCACCUUCUUCUGCCUGCUUUUUCUAGCUGUGCUGGCAGCCGACUGGAUGGUGUCCCCUACACUGUGAGUGGGUCUUCCUGUCCAGUCCAUUCUGGCCACACCCAGAAACACCCAGAAACAAUACUUUGCAUCCUUUGAUGCAAUCAAGUUGACACUUUUUUUUUUUUUUUUUUGAGAUGAAGUUUCUCUCUGUCACCCAGGCUAGAGUGCAAUGGCACGAUCUCGGCUCAUAGCAACCUCCGUCUUCUAGGUUCGAGUGAUUCUCUUGCCUCAGCUUCCCAAGUAGCUGGGAUUACAGGCACCUGCCACCACACCCGGCUAAUUUUUUUGUAUUUUUAGUAGAGGCGGGGUUUCACCAUGUUGGCCAGGCUGGUCUCGAACUCCUGACCUCAAGUGAUCCACCCGUCUCAGCCUCCCAAAGUGCUGGGAUUACAGGCGUGGGCCUGUAAUCCCAGUAACAGCUUACUAUUAACCAUCACAAGCUGUUAGCAGAGGUAAUGAUUAACCCACCACUGGCUGGGGGUACAUCCUGCAAGGGUGCCACCACCCAACUCCAUGAGUGACCUCUCUUUGACCUUUAGAAGUCACUGUUUUUCACCGGGUCUCAAUUUGCACUUUGUAAAACAUGGUGAGAAAACCGUUCUUUGGUUUUCAGGGAAGCUGUAGAUUGGCUAAAAUUAUGACAGUAAUGAGAGAAGAAGGGAUAUGUCCAUGGGAGGAAUGAUGAUCUCUAAUGUCACUGUUGCCAUGAAUUAGGGCCGGCCGGAGCCCACCCUUUGUCCCUAGAGGUCAGUGAUGUGGGCAAAGAAAUCCAAUUCUUGGGUGGGUGCAGUGGCUCACACCUGUAAUCCAACACUUUGGGAGGCCGAGGCGGGAGGAUCUUGAGCCCAGGAGUUUGAGGCCAGCCCGGGCAACAUGGCGAGACCCCAUCUCUACAGAACAUUUUUAAAAAAUUAGCCGGAUGUGGUGGCGUGCACCUGUGGUCCCAGCUACUCAGGAGGCUGAGGUGGGAGGAUCACUUGAGCCCAAGAGCUCGAGGCUGCAGUGAGCCAUGAUUGUACCACUGCACUCCAGCCUGGGAGACAGAGGGAGACCCUGUUUCAAAAUAAAGGCUCCCUGGCUUCCCUACACCCACCCACCUCUGUGCAUUCAGUCACUCAGGCUCUCCACUGCUUAGCUUGGCUGACUCCCGUCAUCUUUCAGUUUCCAGAUUGGAGGUUUCACCUUCCUCCAGGAAGACCUCCCUGACUUUCAAGGGGAGGUUAGAUGUGCCUGCCCCAUAGUCCCGCAGCUCUGACUGCAGUAUGAUCAUCCGCUUUCUUGUCUGUAGGGUCCAGCCCUAUGGGGCUUGGCGAGUGUUCUCCCCAUGUGCGGAGACAGAGAAAUAAAGACAGAACUUCAAAGAGGAACCAGGAGUAUGGGAGGAACAUGAAAGUGGACAAGGAGUGUGACCGUGGAAGCACAGCACCACAGAGAGGGGUUUAGGCCUCCGGAUGACUGCGGGCAGGAAUGGAUAAUAUCCAACCUCCCACAAGAAGCUGGUGGAGCAGAGUGUUCCCCGACUCCUCCAGGGAAAGGGAGACUCCCUUUCACAGUCGGCUAAGUAACAGGUGCCUUCCCAGGCACUGGUGUUACCACCUGACCAAGAAGCCCUCAAGCGGCCCUUAUGCAAGCGUGACAGAGGGCUCACCUCUUGCCUUCUUGGUCACUUCUCACAAUGUCCCUUCAGCACCUGACCCUCUACCCGCCGGUUAUUCCUUGGUUAUACAACAAAGUAAUAUUAAAAGUUAAUGAUUAAUAAUGUUUAUACUAAUGAUUUAUAAUGUCCAUGAUCAUCUCUAUAUCUAAUUUGUAUUAUAACUAUUCUCAUUCUAACUAUUUUGUUUAUUAUACUGAAACAGUUUGUGCCUUCAGUCUCUUGCCUCGGCACCUGGGUAAUCCUCCGUCCACACUCGUCUGUCUCUCCUGCAGGCUGCAUUCGCUGAGGUGUGUCUGUGUUGUCUGGAAGUAAGUGCCGUCCACCAACGUCCUGCCUGCUCUUCAGAGGCUCCUCAAGCCUUCCCUGCCCAGAGAGAUUCCGGGAUGAAAAGGAAAAACGUCCCUGCAUGGCAGAAAUUGAUGCUGCUUCUGGAAACGUGGGGCAGGUGGCUGUUUCCAAAAUGUGUCUGCCAUCACUUGGGCUAGUAGUGGGAGCAUCUAGUUUUGGAACUGGACAGACUUGGGAACGCAUCCCUGAAUCCACCAAUUAUGUGACUUUGGCUUAAUGACUUACUGUCUGGGAGCCUCACUUUCCUCAUCUGUAAAACAGGACGGACACUCGCCUUGCAGGAAUACUGGAGGUCUGUACUGCACUGCCAACAUCUAUUCUCCCUCAUCCGUGACAAGAGUACCCACAAUUUCCUCUGGGAAGCUGCUCCUCUCCAAUCAGUGUCUGUUCAGUGGUUGGAGGUUGACCCUACCCCAGCUCUGAGAUGGCCCGGCCAGCCUACCCUAAUUAGCAUAUCCCUUUCACCUUGGCCACAGUGACUGACUUAGGGCUGGGGCUGUGCAGAGGUGAGCCUCAGCUUUUUGGGUAGGAAUACCAGGACUUGGAUUUCACUGGGUUUAAUGCUAGGAGGGCGUCAAGCUUGUGAUAACUGUGGCCAUUUUUGUUACCAGAAGGGUAGCCAGUCUGAGGAUGGAAGCCAAUCUAUAGGAGACAGAGCUAAGAGAUACUAAUACAUCCCUAAGUCACUUGAGUCCUGGAUCAAACCAUUCCUGAAGCUCCUACUAAGCUACACUGUUAUGUGAACCAAUACUCUUCCUUUUGUUUAACCAGUUUUUGGUUUUUUGGGGUUUUUUUGUUUGUUUUUGUUUUGUUUUGAUAUAGGAUCUUACCCUGUCACAUAGGCUGAAGUACAGUGGUAUGAUCUUGGCUCACUGCAACCUCUACCUCCUCGGCUCAAGCGAUCCUCCCACCUUAGCCUCCCAAGUAACUGGAAUCACAGGUGCACGCCACCACCAUGCUCAGCUAACUUUUAAAAUUUUCUGUAGAGACAAGGUCUCACUAUAUCACUCAGGCUGGUCUCGAAGUCUUGGGCUCAAGAGAUCCUCCUGUCUCAGCCUCCCAAAGUGCUGGGAUUAUAGGUGUGAGCCACUGUGCUCGGUCAGAAGCUGGUUACUCCUGCACCAGAAAUACCCUAAGAUUUAUUUGGCCAGGCACGGUGGCUCAUGCCUAUAAUCCCAGCAGUUUGGGAGGCUGAGGUGGGCGGAUCGCUUGAGCUCAGGAGUUUGAGACCAGCCUGGGCAACAUGGUGAAACCCCGUCUCUACAAGAUAUACAAAAAAAGUUAGCCAGGCAUGGUGGCUUGUGCCUAUAGUCCCAGCUACUCAGGAGGCUGAGGUGGGAGGGUUGCUUGAGCCCAUAAGGCUGAGGCCGCAGUGAGCUGUGAUUGCACCACUGCACCCCAGCCUGGGCGACAGAGUGAGACCUUGUCUAAAAAAAAAAAAAAGAAGCAUCCACGGUCCUACGACUCUGUAUUCUUGGUUUGUUAUCACCAGAGAAGAGUUCCAUUUCUCCGCUGGAAGGAUAUGCCCGUAUUGGUCUGUUCCGGCUGCUCUAACAAUAUACCAUAGACCAGGCAGCUUCAAAACAGCAGAAAUUGAUUUCUCCCAGUUCCAGAGGCUGAAGUUCCAAAUCACUGUGCCAGCAUGGGUCCUAGCGGGGCCCCUCUUUCCGGUUGCAGACUGCUGUCUUCUCAUUGCAUUCUCAUAUGGCGGAAAGAGGGUGAGGCAGCUAUCCAAUUCAUGAGGACUGUACCCUCAUGACCUAAGAACCCCCCCAAAAGCCACCUCCUAAUCCUAUCACAUUGGCAGUUAGGACAUCAAUGCAGGGGCCUGGUAUGGUGGCUCACACGUGUCGUCCCAGCACUCUGGGAGGCUGAGGCAGGUGGAUCACUUGAGCUCAGGAGCUUGAAACCAGCCUGGGCAACAUGGCAAAGCCCCAUCUCUACAAAAAAUACAAAAACCGGCCAGGUGUGGUAGUGCACACCCGUAGUCCCAGCUACUUGGGGAGCCGAGAUAGGAGGAUUGCCUGGGCCCAGGAGGUUGAGGCUACAGUGAGCCAUGUUUACGUCACUGCACUCCAGCCUGGGUGCACUCACAGUUCUCAAAAAAAAAAAAAAAAAAGAUUUCAACAUAGCAAUUUGAGGAGGGGACACAAUUCAGCCCAUGUCAAUGGCCACGGAGAAUCCCACUUCCUCCUGGAAAAAUCGUCCAGAGGAGCCACAGGCCUCUUGGUUAGUGCCUUAGCCUGGGUCUCCUAUCCGGGGCUUGAUCUCGUGGGGACCUUCUGUUUCAGUCCAUGUCAUGUUGCUAUAACAGAAUACCUGGGGCUGGGUAAUUUAUAAAGAAAAGAGGUUUUUUUUUUUUUUUUUUUUUGAGGCACAGUGUCGCUCUGUCGCCAGGCUAGAGUGCAGUGGCAUGAUCUUGGCUCACUGCAACCUUUGACUCCCUGGUUCAAGCGAUUCUUCUGCCUCAGUCUCCCGUGUAGCUGGGAUUACAGGCAUGUGCCACCAUACUCAGCUAAUUUUUGUUUUUUUGUUUUUGUUUUGUUUUGAGACGGAGUCUUGCUCUGUCGCCCAGGCUGGAGUGCAGUGGCGCAAUCUUGGUUCACUGCAAGCUCCACCUCCCGGGUUCACGCCAUUCUCCUGCCUCAGCCUCCCGAGUAGCUGGGACUACAGGCGCCUGCCACCAUGCCCGGCUGAUUUUUUUGUAUUUUUAGUAGAGAUGCGGUUUCACCAUGUUGGCCAGGAUGGUCUUGAUCUCCUGACCUCGUGAUCCACCCGCCUCGGCCUCCCAAAGUACUGGGAUUACAGGCGUGAGCUACCAUUCCCAGUCAAGAAAAGAGGUUUAUUUACCUCACGGCUCUGCAUGCUGAGAAGUUUGAGGGCAUGGUGCCAGCAUCUGCCUGGCCUCCUAGCAUGGUGGAGAAGGUUGAAGGGGAAGCAGACACGUGUAAAGAAGCAAAACCCGAGGGGCUUCCUGGUUUUAUAACAACCUGCUCUCUUGGGAACUAAUCCAUUCCCACAAGAGGAAGAACUCACUUACUCCUGAGAGAAGGCACCAAGCCAUCCAUGAGGGAUCCACUCUCCUGACCCAAACACCUCCCACAAAGCCCCACCUCCCAACAUUGCCACACUGAGGGCCAAAUGUCAACAAACCAUAUCCAAACCGUAGCACCUUCUGAGUAGCCGAAUAAAAUAUGCCUACGAAUUGUCCACGCCAGGCACAGAAGAGGA